rnacentral:rRNA from 1 species
GAUGAACGCUGGCGGCGUGCUUAACACAUGCAAGUCGAACGGUGAACCCGGGGCUUGCUCUGUGGGAUCAGUGGCGAACGGGUGAGUAACACGUGAGCAACCUGCCCCUGACUCUGGGAUAAGCGCUGGAAACGGCGUCUAAUACUGGAUAUGUGACGUGACCGCAUGGUCUGCGUUUGGAAAGAUUUUUCGGUUGGGGAUGGGCUCGCGGCCUAUCAGCUUGUUGGUGAGGUAAUGGCUCACCAAGGCGUCGACGGGUAGCCGGCCUGAGAGGGUGACCGGCCACACUGGGACUGAGACACGGCCCAGACUCCUACGGGAGGCAGCAGUGGGGAAUAUUGCACAAUGGGCGCAAGCCUGAUGCAGCAACGCCGCGUGAGGGAUGACGGCCUUCGGGUUGUAAACCUCUUUUAGCAGGGAAGAAGCGAAAGUGACGGUACCUGCAGAAAAAGCGCCGGCUAACUACGUG